UAGCAGAGGAAAGGCUUGCAAUCAGGUCUUCUGAGCUCUAAAUUCUGCAGUCAUUUGGCUGCCCAACUGCCUCUCCCUCCACCGUCAGGCGUUGGAAGUGAAAGAAGGAAGCCACUCCAUGCCCUGAGGGAAGAGCUUGGAGAUGUUAGACCUAGCAACAGGGGCUUUGGGGAGGAGAAGAGGUUGUCAUAGUGGAAAAGAUACCUCACUAAGACACAUAUCUCCAAAUGGAAGAUGUGCAUUGUUUGUUGUGCCUGAUGAAUCGUGAUGCUGGUUUUUCAAUUCCACUCAUCAAUUAUUCGAAGAUUUUAGUUGAAAAUCACCCACCAGAUUUCCAUCUUCUCUGAUAUCAGUCAGUUGUUUGCACAACUCUAGUCAUCAAAACGUCUUGAAUUUUAUGUAUUUUCAUAAAUAGGUGUCGAUUCACUGAAAUUCCACAUGUGGAUGAUUUUAAAACAGUGGAGGGAGAGCACCGAGGGGCUCAGAUGAAGCUUUUGCUCCAGCGUUCGAAAACUGCUGACAUUCCUUUCUGUGAAGAUAAUUGAAUCAUCAAAUUUGAUGAAAGGUUCCUGAAAUAUCAGGAAACAGAUUUUCUAUGGAGUCCAUGAAUACAACUAUUAACAAAACGAAUUUUAAAGUCAAAGGGAAAUAUCUUGUUUUUUUUUUUUCAGCUUGGCUGUUUCUUCACUGAGAAGCAUUUAAAAAAUAAAUGAUUGCAUAUUGACAAAAAAACAUAAUACGUAGGGGUCUUUCUGUAAAAGAAUACAUUACAAUAUGAAAAUCUAAGUAACAUAAACUUACCUUGAACAUUGUCUAUGAGAUUUUGUUUAACAAAUAUACAUUGUAAGGGUCUCAGUCAUUCCAUUUUUAUAAUAUGUCUUUGGUGAUGCUCUUUUGCUAAGGCUUUAAGGAAUUGCAAUUACAGUAAAAUGCUCUACUAUUUUACUGGAAAGUUCUUUCCCAAUUCUGGGAUUGGAAAUGUGUAUAGGUCAUUGAAUUUUUGUUGGAUAAGUUGUUGAAUUGAAUUAAAUUUCUGCAGAUGUACUCAUUUACAGGUACUCCUAUUCAAAAAUUUUUCGUCCUAUGAAGACACUGUUAGGAAUAUUAAUGAAUAGGGAUCUACAUUAAAAGCUACAGGAAGAGAAAAAUGAAAAUGUUUAAAACACAUGUUAUUGGAGUUACAGAUGAAGAAUAUGUAGGAAGGGUAAUAUUUGAUGAGAUAAUGGGUGAUGAUUUCCCACAAUUAUUGAAAGACAUGAAUCUUCAGAUGUAAGAAUAAUAAAAAUUCCCGAGCACAAUAAAUAAGUCAGUCUACAGCUAGACAUAUCAUAGUGUCUUGAAGAUCUUAAAAGUAGGAAGAGAUAAAAAGAAAGUUGCCUAUACAUGAAUUACUCUUGAGAAACUU